CCGGGCUCUCGUGCCCUCCCUCAGUGACAGGCUCGUGCGCACGGGGGUGGGGAGCAGAGCAGAGGGGGGAUCUCUGCCCGUGAAGCGCCGCUAUUCUUGCGCUCCAGCAGCACCGCCGGGCGCACGGGCGGCUGCCUGGCUGUGCUCACUGACCGUGCCUGGGCGGGGGGCUACCGCCCCCGACUACACCGCAGAAACCCGAGAGACAGGAGAGGUCUGCAGCUGCGCGGGCAGACGGCAGAGAUCGCCCGAGGAGGUGGUGGAGCGGUGGGGGCAUGUCGUCCCUGGGGCUGGCUGCACCACCUCAGCGCCGGCCCGGACGGGGUCCUUCAGCGGGCGAUGGGCUGCGGGCGGGGUACGGCGCGGUCGCGCCGGGAGUCUCUGUCUCGCCAGACUGCAUCGCGCAGGCUUGUAGCGAAAAUAAUAAAGAUCUUAUUUUUACAGCGUGACAGCCGGGCUAGCAGGAGCUACGUGACACAGAGCGGCGUUUCUGAUGUAAAGAUUUCGUAGAAAAAUUCAAAGACGUUUCACUGCGACGAAGGUUAUUACUGCUUAUAAAUCCCAAAUUAUUCCGGUUGAAGCUUAAUACAUUGUAAGGUGCAGGGGGGUGGGUGUAGGAGGGCUCGAGGGGAUUGUCUGCGUGCUAUAAAAGCAUCUGCACUC